AUUACCUAGAAGGUUGCCGGGUUGACCUAGUUCAGCCCGCAUAAGGAGGCUUAAAGCUGUGCCUAGGACCCCAGCUCAGGCACCGAACAACAGUAGAAAUGGGGUUUCACCAUGUUGGCAUGCUGGUCUCAAACUCCUGACCUCAAGUGAUCCACCCGCCUUGGCCUCCCAAAGUGCUGGAAUUACAGGCACAAGCUACUGCGCCGGGCCAGCCACUGCGCCCAGCCUGCUUUGCAAGUUUAAUUGGAAUGCCAGAGCACCUUAGCCUACGGCGGUGAGGCUUGCUGAAACUCAAGUUCCAAGCAAGGAGAUGGACAAUUUCUCUUUGGCUAGAGGUUCUAAAUGCUCCCUCUGUGGUCAUCAGCUGAGUUCUGCAAAGUGUUGUUUUCCACUGUGACAGGGCAGCAGUGAAUUCCAGUGCAAAAUCCCAUAAUCACUGCACUUCUCCUCCCCCAAUCAUACAGAUUCUCCACAUCAUGCAGUUCCUGCUAAGGAAUGGAAAAGGUGCGGGUUCAAGGAAGAUGAGACAAAUAUGGAAUAAGCUUGUAUCCAUUCCUGGAGCCUGGAGCCUGGAGCCUGGGGCCCAGAUACUCAAGAAGCCUUGAGUCUAAUUUAGUCCAGCUGAUUUUCAGCUAACCCUCGCACACAUAAACAUGAGAAUAAAUGAGUUUUCUUUCAAUUCAAAAUAA